rnacentral:lncRNA from 10 species
GCUACAUGGGAGCAAAGCAUUUCAGUGCAAAAGCCCUAAGCACUGUGUGACUAGAAGGGAGUAAGAAGAAAGGUUAUCAGGAAAUCAGCUCAGAGAGAUAAUGGUGUCAGGUCCCAGAGGAAAGAGCCCCUGCCUGGAACCUGAUGGUCCUGUGACAGAGAGAAAAAAUUGAUGGCAAAACUAUACAAUGGCUCUGUGAGCUUCUACAUACAUUUCAUUGUAAACAAAACAAAUGGCCAAGCAAAACAAAUGGCCAAGCCUGGCGUUAAUGGAGUAGGAGGUCUAAUUCCUAGAUCUCCAAAACAUAUCAGCAAGUAUUUUGAACAAAGAAUACAAUCUACCACACCAUCAUUAAAGGUACACCAAAA